rnacentral:lncRNA from 1 species
AUGCUGAACAGAGCGCCAAGCAAGGUUUGGAGAUUCUGCAGCUGUCACCCCCAGCGUCUCUGUAGGAUAGCCUCGUGCCCCUCUUCACCCAGGUCUGCAGGAGGGUGGCAGCGCGGCUUGAGAAGGCUGGGUGGCGGAGCUCGGAGGCGUGCAGUGUUCCCACCACACUGCGGUGGCUCAACUGCCCGGGCUGUGGGGUUUCCAGCUGGGUCAUGUUGACUUGAACCGACUCAGCAGGCGGUGACCCCCUGGAGCACCUGAAGCCUUCAGAGAAAUAUGAUGGAAAACCAAGAGGCCUCCACCUCCCUGACUUGCUGCAACCUCCUGGGCUUUGCAGUCGGGCUGCUUUUGCAGAUGCACUCCUCAAAGCUAGCUCGGCAGACAUUUAUUUUUAAAUAUACAGGAAGCCAAAGACGUUGAGAGAAAAGCCGCCUAAUGCAUUCCUCCGCUCAUCUCCAAAGUCAUCGCUAGUUUUCUAGACGCGAUUUUCAUCGGUCUUUCCGAAGACAGAAAGAGCCUCCUCUACAUAGGGCUUCCUUCUUUGCCUUCAUCUGUAAUGUGAGCCUUGCCCUAGGUUGCCUCUUUCUCUACUUGCUCUGUCUGCUUCACAGUUCUCCUGUCAUUUCAGCAGUUGUACCAUGCUUUUUGUUGUUAGGAAAUCACAAAUUGUGAAACACAUUCAAGUGAGCACAUUUAAAAAUAACCUAGGCUUCUCUACUAUUUAGGUAAGGCCACUUGCUUGUUUGGGGUUGCUAAUGGGAAUAAGAGGCUAUGUGUGAUUACCUCUAGAACCUGCUUGUUUGCUCUGAGGAAAGUUUUAUUGAACAGCCACAGGCUGCGUUCCAGAACAUUGGCCAAACACUUUGCAAAUGUGUGCCGUUGGGUCCUAGCACCGUCCACUCCACUUCUGGGAAAGGAAUAUGCCCUGGGGACGGAGGUCUCUUUGCAGAAUGCCAACGUGGGCUGCAAACUCAUAAGACUUUUAAGGAGUGGUUGUGGACCCCUGAUAAAAGCCCGUUGUCAUUUUUAGCUUCUGGAAAUCCACAGGUCUCUAAUUUUGUAAAAGGUGCUUUCCAUGCUUGCGGUCUAUUCUCCCAGGGAAAUUUAGUCUGAAUACUGUGUUGCAGGGUGGUGGUUGGAGGAUAAUUGCUGAUACAUUGUGGGCCCAGAAUAGAUUGGUCACGUUGUAUUUCUCUCUUUUCACCCUAACAAAUCAGAGACCAAUGGUAUUGUUCCGAAUUUGGAGUCUGAGAGUCUCAACCUCGCCUUAUCCUUCACCAGCCAGGACAGCGGCUAGGACUGAAGGUGCGUGUAUCCGUGUUUUCCUCCCGGCCACCCUGUUCCCCGCUCUGUCCCUCACUGAUCUGUGCAUAAAUUGGGCAGAUCUACUUAAAUCUGCUUUACACAGCAGGCUUUUAUAUAAGCGUUCAUUUGAAAACUGAGAGAUGUGUAAAGGCUUUUUAGCUUUGUUUUGAGAUAGAUAGGGUCUCACUCUGUCACCUAGGUUGGAGUGCAGUGGUGGAAUCAUGGCUCACUGCAGCAUCGACCUCCCAGGCUCAAGUGAGUCUCUUGUCUCAGCCUCCUGAGUAGCUGGGACUAAAGGAGCACACCACCACUCCCAGCUAAAUUUUUUUCAUUUUUAUUUUUAGUAGAGACAAGGUCUCACUAUGUUGCCCAGGCUGGUCUCAGACUCCUAGCUCCAAGUGAUCCUCCUGCCUCAGCCACCCAAAGCAUUGGGAUUUCAGAUGCCUGGCGCAUAAAUGCCUAUAGAUGUUGAAAAGGGAAGGGAACGUGAAGGAAGUUCCUCACCUGGGCACUCAGAGGAGGUCUCUCAGGCAGGGAAUGGACAAGGUAUACGAGCCAGCUCACAUCUGUGGUUCCUCCUUAGGCUCAUGGAAGCUCGUCCAUAAGGCAUAGAUUGGUUCAUGAUAGCGAUCAGGAGAAUUGUCUUGGUGUCAGGUACCUUGGUGCCUGGCUGCUGUUCUGUACCACGUGGCCUCCAAGGGUGGUUGGGCUCUAGGACUCAGGUGAUCUGACUCCUAGAUCAUCUGAAAAAGAAAACGAUGUUGAGGCUUCUUUUUCUACAGAGCCACCUAAAUUUAAAGUCUGAGAGGCUGAUAACUACGGCUGCCAAUUAUGACGUGCUGAGCAGUGUGCUACACAAGUUCCAUCCUCUGCCUUGAGUUCUCGUAGCAACCUUCUGAUACAGAGAGUCUAUUCUUUAACAGAGGAGAAAAGAAAUAUGAGCUGGUGAACUAGGAUGAUUUGACCAGACUCACACAGCCGGAGACUAUCAACUCAGAACCCAGUCUCCUGGGUCUUGAUGUCUUAAUCGGUUUGGGAUCUUAUAACAAAAUACCUGAGGCAGGUGGCUUAAACAGCAGACAGUUAUUCCUCCCACUUCUGGAACUGGAAAUCUGAGAACAGGGUACCAGUGUGGUGGGUUUUGCGUGAGGAUUCUGUUCCUGGCUUGGGGAUGACUGCUUUCCCACUGUCUUCUCACGUGGCACAGAAAGAAGCAAGCCUCCUGUGGUUCCUUUAGAAUCCCAUCUCAAGGCCGUCAUUCUCCUGACCUCAUCUAAACCUUCCCCCUCCCAAAGGCGGAACCUCCUAAUACAUCACCUCAGGAGGUAGGGCUUCGGCAUAGGCCUUUGGCCCAGGGGGGUUGGGGAUAGACAUUCAGUCCAUAGCACUUGGGUUUGCAAUCCAUGCCUUAACCGUAGACCUUCACAGCCUUGCUCAGCAUAGAAAAAUCUCAGUGUGAUCUGACAAACACCAUCAUGAGGCCAGCAGAGCUUCCCCAUAUGAGAGGAUGGAGGUAGGCAGGUGAGCCGUAACUGCCCAAACAAGGCCUCACCCUUUGGUUAACGGGUUGAUGGUAUUCACUUUCCCUCGAGCCUCACACUUGAGGUUUAAGAGCUUGUUCCCAGCCUGGUGAGGUAGCUCAUGCCUGUAAUCCUAGCACUUGGGGAGGUCUAGGUGGGAGGAUCACUUGAGGCCAGGAGUUUGCAACCAGCCUAUGGGCCACAUAACAAGACCCCAUCUCCACAAAAUUAAAUUUUUUAAAAAGUUAGCUAGGUACGGUGGUGCUCACCUGUGGCCCCAGUUACCAGGGAGGUUGAGGUGGGAGGAUCUCUUGCCCCCAGGAGGU